GAUGAACGCUAGCGGCAGGCCUAACACAUGCAAGUCGAGGGGUAGAACACUUCGGUGUUUGAGACCGGCGCACGGGUGCGUAACGCGUAUGCAAUCUACCUUGUACAGGGGAAUAGCCCAGAGAAAUUUGGAUUAAUGCCCCAUAGUAUAUAACCUUCGCAUGUUGGUUAUAUUAAAGUUCCAACGGUACAAGAUGAGCAUGCGUCCCAUUAGUUAGUUGGUAAGGUAACGGCUUACCAAGACGAUGAUGGGUAGGGGUCCUGAGAGGGAGAUCCCCCACACUGGUACUGAGACACGGACCAGACUCCUACGGGAGGCAGCAGUGAGGAAUAUUGGUCAAUGGUCGCAAGACUGAACCAGCCAUGCCGCGUGCAGGAAGACGGUCCUAUGGAUUGUAAACUGCUUUAUACAGGAAGAAACCCUCCCACGUGUGGGAGCUUGACGGUACUGUAGGAAUAAGGAUCGGCUAACUCCGUG
rnacentral:rRNA from 1 species